UCGUUCUAAAUGGUUUUAAUUAAGUGAUGGAUUUUAUUAAGGUACUAAUUCAAUCACGUGUUGCCAAAAUAAUAUUCAACAAAAACAUGAGGUUUAAAUAUGCAGAGCUGGCAAGGAUCAACAGAUGAAACAACUCAAAGGCCUUCCUUUAUGGCUAAAUUAUGCACCCUUUAGGACUAUAACAACGAGGAUUGUAUAUAAAUAAAUCGGUUACACGAAAGGUUCAUCAGGUGAACUGUCUGUCAAGCUGACAACAUGUCCAAGUCUUGCAGAAUGAUUACAGUUUUGUAGCAAUUCUGCAUGAUCCUCAACACAAUGAACAAUUAGAUUAGAUUAACUAAAUCUUUCAUUCACUAAUCAACCUUCUGCCAGACUUGCUUCCCUUUCCACCUGCUUUCUCAGCUGAUCUAAAAUUAAUAUACAACGCCCCUUCACUCACAAGGGAAUCUAUCUGAUGGCAAGUGUAUUAGUGAACACCUUGUCGUGUAAAGUCCUCCUGCUUCUCUAAAUCUGCACAAGUAACCAAAAAGUAUUUGCUUUCUCAGUUCAAAAUAUAAGGCAAAAAAACGUAACUGGAUCCUAAAUUCUGACAACAUGGAAAAUUGAUCAUUGUACAGUUCUGUGCAGAAUGUUUGACGCUCAACAGCACCUUCCUAUGAAUCAACUAUUGACUGAAUUCCUGAAUCAUGAUCAAUCUUCAUGUUCAUUUUCACCUUCAGAAUCUGCAUAAAUAGAAAAGUAAGUCCAAUUAUAUAUCAGUUACAACGGGAGGUUCUGACUGAAGAUGCUAGUGGUCUGAAUUAUAUGCAAGAGGUUGCUGUCAUAUUAGAUCACUUGGCUGGAGCAAUAAUGGCUGCUAAUACAUUUAUAACAAGCUAUAGAAGUCGUCUUCAAGGGAAAUUUAACCGAUAAUAGGGGUCAAGACGCUGUCAGGCGAGUUUUUUUGAUUUGCUAAAAACUAUCCAUUCCAUCUUUAGGCCCCUAACUAUGAUAAAGGGGCGAGUGCACUUUUUGAUGAACCACAAGUAUAACCCAUACUAAAUAUGAUUAGUCAUGAAGCCAUUAACAGGUUCUCAGGUUUACAGUAAAUUAAAAGUUAUAUAGAGCAUAAUAAACUUCAUCCACUGGAACAAAGCAGUAAUAGAAUUCAUUCAAAACAAAUGCAACCAUCAGUUGAGUAGUGACGGAUUAUUUACAGAAAACCUAUGAUGCCCUUAUUAUACUUAUGGCUUGGAAAAAUGAAUAAACACAAUACCAGAGCACAUUGAACAAUUAUGCUGCAAAAUUAAAAGAAUAGGUAUCUACUCAGAAGGUAUUGAAUGAUUAAGGCCUUCAAAAAUUCAAUCUUCCAUGACAACAAAGCGGUACAUUUGUUUACUUCAACUAGUACUGAUUUGCUACACUAAUGCUUUCCUCUUCUUUUCCCCCCUUUGUGUGGGUUUUUUUUUUGUUUUGUUGGGGNNNNNNNNNNNNNNNNNNNNNNNNNNNNNNNNNNNNNNNNNNNNNNNNNNNNNNNNNNNNNNNNNNNNNNNNNNNNNNNNNNNNNNNNNNNNNNNNNNNNNNCCUUGUUUUGACUUACCAGAUCGAACAUCAUCACUAAGUUGGCCUCUUGCUUGGAUUUGUUUAACAAGCAUCCGAUACAUUAACACCCACCAGUAAAUGUGAAGAACGAGCAAGCAAAAGAGAAGAGUAUUGAACACGUAGUAGUAGAUUGGUCCUUCAACUCUGUGCUUCUCCUUGUCCAAUGCUUGGAGAACUUCAUAACUGCCGAAAAAGGAAUAAUCCAUAAUAUUUCAUCAUAUUUUAAGCUCUUCAACAUAUUAAUAGUUAUCAGAAACUAUAGAAUCUUAAAUUGGAUACUGAAAUUGAUAUUGAUACUAUAAGAAAAGGAAAGAAAAUAAGAUCAAAAAUGAGUAUCUCACUAAAGUGCAAGCAGUGCUACUGAACUAAUAAUAAGUAAACCAAUUAUCAAUGAAACAUUUAACAAUUGAAGUUUUGAACUAUGAAUUUUCAUCCAGAAAAAGAUGAUACUACCAGAAAUCUGUUUGAAUGAUGGCUACUAAUCAAAUAAUAAAAGAACAUAAUUGCCAUUAAAUAGCAUCACAUCUCCUGGCCCUAAGAACUACUAAGAUCAUGUAUUCAGGCUUUUAGCUUCUAGAAAUAUUCCUCAACUAAGAGCUAGAGACGAAACCUUGGGAAAUUAAGAUUUUACGGUAAAUUUAUGAAUCGGAAAGAAACCUGUUUGUUCAACGAUUUUGUGCACAGAUAGUAGAAGAUUAAGAUUCCAAGGUUAAAUAAAUAGAUAUAGGAGUUGUUGAAGCUAGUAUACAUAUGUAGAUAUACAUAAGUGUACCUAUACAACCAAAUGCUGCUGGUGGAGAAUGUAUAUAUAUCUUUUGAGAAUUUAUUCAGCAAUUAUGUUGUGCACCACCAGACUGAGAAAACCACCCUUGGUUCUUAAGUAAAGAUUAUCAAGUAACUGCCAACCAAUUAAUUAGGAAUGGAUACUGCAAGAAGCCACCAUCAUUCUAUCUCUUUGUUCUUCGUAUUCUACUUUGUUUCUUUUUCUUCUCAUGUUUUAUGUUAAAAUAUAACCAUAUUAAUCUUUCCAAUUUGAGAUAAUUCAGCUUGAUUAUACUUAACGCUAGUUGUCUCAUGUUCAAACCUAAAGUAAUUAGGUUUUUAAUUGCUAUUCAGAUUUAAGUUUGACUUGUGCAACCAUUUUUUAAGUCCUUUUGUUUCUGUUGUUGAAAAUUCAUACAUAAUUCUUAAUAAUGUAUAUUGGUUAGUAAAGAUGAGUUGGGUUGACACUAGUCUAGGUUUCAGAUUCCCAAUCAAAUACCAGGUGGCCAAGGUCAGAAAGACAUGCAGAAAUCAAAUGAAAUGAGUGUUAUAACCCUAUUUGGAUAUGAGAUAAAAGUAUUGUACUAAUAAAUUUUUAAAGAAAAACACCUGGCCCAACCCCAAAAGAUAAUGUGAAAGAAGAAACAUAGAGAUCCAAAUGAAUAAUCAUAAAAGAAUGCAACAGUGAAGAUAAAUAGGCUCCUUUAAAUUCCUAAAAUACCUUCAACAAUGGUAUAUCUUGAGGGUAACACACUAGUAGACAACAUUAGACUACCAAAAAAAAGUUGUUGACCGUGAUUGCUUCUUUAACUAGUCAAUUCCAUUUAUUAAUAUCUUCCUUAAUGUCUUAACUUCUGACCUAGUUAAGAUUUUAGAAUACAUAUCAAUUUUGACAAACCAUUUGACAUCAGAGCAAAGGAAUUUGCAAGAGUAUCAAUGAAUAAAUGUGAAAAAGCAAUCUACUCCACCUUGUACUCCAGAGGAUCCAAAAUGGAUAGUAGAUGAGGCGAAGUAGAACCCAUGAUAAAACAAACAGAAUAAAUGAAAAGCUAGCAAGAGUCUCAGUGCCACUAUAUUUGGACAUCUUCCCUACUUCAAGAAAUACAUCACUAGCAUCAUGAAGAGCCAAAACAACAGAACCAACUCGAGCAAACCUGCAAUAAGACACAUGAAACAAAUUUUAAAAAUUCCAUCUGCACCAGGUUAUACUAUUUUAGCCCUUUCUAGUACAUAUAUUAAUUUGAAUAAUCAUAUAUUCAUAUUAAUCAUCCCACAUAAUGCCAUUCCUUGAACAUAUUCCAACCUAAGUUGAAGUCAGCAUAAUUGAAAUUAGAACUGAAAAUGAUAAUUACAAAUUAAUAUCCUUCUAAGCAUACCUGAAUAUGUAAGACAACAUGAUGAGUAUCGCAGUUGCUACAUGAUGACCCAUUGACACCCCAAAAUCAGAACGCCUUGUUUCCCAAAAUAUCAAAGCAAAUAUGGAGUAUGUAUAGAAUCCACCAACAUACAUAUAAAGUCCUUUCAAUUUCAACCUGGUUAUCAUAAAAUGAGUCAACUCAGAAAUAGAAAAUUCUUACAAAGUAAAAGAAUAAAUCAAGAGCGACCCAACGUUGCUACAAAAAUUAUAUAAUCAUUGGUCUAUAAUUUUUGGAAAUCUUACUUAAUUUUAAGCUCUGGCCAUACUUGAUUUCCAGGUCCUGUCCAAAAAUUGCUUGUGUUAGUGAACCAAGGCUCAUCAUAGGUUACAGCAAGAGCUAGAAUCUCUGCUGAAAGGUAAUAAAUGCAUUUCCACGCUGAUUCCUUGAACUUUCGUAUCUUCUUUCUCCUCUCAUCUGUCUCAACAUCCAGCUUCUGAUUUCCCUUUCCAAAUAUCAACAGUCUUCCCACUUUCUGCAAAAUGUAAACAUUCAUUUUACUUUACAGUCUGAAUACAAAAAUUUCCAUUGAAGAGUUAAUUUUCUUUUUCUUUUUGGGUAGGAGGGUUGUGGGGAAGACCUGGCCAUGGAGCAGAUUGAUUCGAGAAGGUCAAUUACAAACAUAUAGAAAGAAAUCAACUAGUGUUGGUGUUGCUUAUACAUGGUGUUGGGAGAGGUAAACUAGAUAAUAUAUAUCCUUCAGCAUUUUUUUUAUGAGUAGCUAUCAUGCAGCGUUAUUUUUUAACAAAUUUUGUGUUCUUGAGCUGAACCAUUCUAUUUGCACCAAAAUAACAAUCCAAAAGAAGUUUACCAAGAACACUCCCCAUGGAAGGUUUAAUCUCGGUUGACGCAUAAGCUGGGCCGAGGACACCCUUACCGUUCAAACAAAAAAAAAGACUAGUUAUCUAGUAAAACCAACAUUGGAGGUUCAUUAAAUCUAUAUUUUUUGAAGCAGAAAAAGCUAUUGAAUCCAAUUUUUUAAAAUUUUAAAAUGAAUUUGUAUUCAGUACCAUUCUUUAAUAUGUAAUAUUCGCAUUCAAUUUUUCAAUCAUGAAAGUUGUAAAUUAGUAACUUGGGAUCAGUCUAAUAAUUGUUUAUCUGCAAUGGUCUCUGCAUGUGGUUUUAUCCUGAUUUUCCAGCUUAUCAUCUAUGAUGUUGCAUUCUAGGUAGUAACAACAUUGAGUCAGAUAAAGAAGAUACUUUCUGGGUAUGUUUGGGAUUACAAAGUUCUGGGAGUGUUGUUUGUUGGUAAUAAAGCAUUAGGGACAGAAACCAGAUGAGCAUUACCAUUCAUGUUAAAGGUACAAAAGGACAACUAAAAGAAGAUAAAACACAGGAUUAUUAGUUGGGAAAAAGAACUACAGCCCUAAAAUAAAAUAAGUUCCACAUUGUCAAUAAAAUGUACUAGCUAAGGAUUUAAAUAAAUAUGUAUUGUCUCUCAUGGUCCAAUUGGCCAUGGAUGACUAAUAAGUAAAAUCUUAGUUAGUAUUAGAUCAUAAAUCCCGUCUCAAUUAUGAAAUUAAGAUCAUGCAUUACUAAAAUGGAUAAAAUACCGCCUAAGAGAACAUCGAAUCACUCAAAAUCCAUGUGACUUGACGUAAAUGUCAGGGAAAAAUCUUGGUAGAAAAAGAUGCCACAGAAAGCACAGACAUUAAUAUGUUACUCCCUCCAUCACAAAAGAAAGUCCAGUUUCGAAAGUCUUAAAAAUGUUUGACUUUAGCAUAAUUAACGACUAAGAUCAUAAUUUAGACUUCGCAGGAAUCUAAUAUAAAGAAGAAGCUAUUGAAUCAAAAAGAUGCGCCUCUAUAGGUGUUUAUGGUGUAAAAUGCUUUUGCUGGGCUGAUUGGACCUUCUUUAAUAUUGGAGUGAGCAGUCUUCAUCUUUUUGGUUAUACUGUUGCAGUGAGUAAAUACAAAGUAUAAACUAUAAACAGAACUGUAUAUUCUGUUCUUUGUGCUUAAAAAAACAUAUAUCCAUAGCACAAUUACAGCUAGAAAAACAACAGAAUUUCAAAAAUUAACACAAAGCAAAAGGAUGAAUGCAAUAUUGGUCGACGAUACACCAUAUAUUCGUAAAGCAAUGAAUAGCAAAACGUACACACAGUGAGCUUGAUCAGUCGAUCUAAUAACCAAUUAUCAAACAAAGUGAACAUCAAUCGAAAGUAAAAGAAACCCACUUCAAUCAAACUGAUAAUAAAAUCAACAAGGUACCUCGAAAAUAAAUCUGUCGAGAAAGAAGCGCACUGUAGGGAAGAACAGGGCAAAUAAGGGAAGAACUGCAAAAUCUUCAUACUUUGGAAACGAUUCAUGUUCCCAAUCAAAGGAACCCAAAAAUUCAACCAAGUCCAUUACGGGUUUCCUCAGAAUAACUGUAUCUGUAUCUAUAUAAUUGGUAAGUAAAUCUCUCUAUAUAUAUACACGUAUAUAUGAAUAUGGAUGAAUUCUUGGGCAGAUCAAUGUCUAGCCCAGUAAGGUGAGAUCAAAUCGAGGACUUUAGCAAUGUAAUUGGUUGGUUAUUGUGUAUUGAACAGAUCUGUCUCCCCCACCAGAAUUAUUUAUUUAUUUAAGAUGCCAUUUGAUAAAUCAAGUCAAUUCGGCUUUGAGGUUGACAUUAUAAAAAGUUGGCAAUCGACUGGCGAUUGUUAUCUGGACCGGCGUACGAUUAGUAGAGUCCAGCAUGGUGGGAAGGCUUUGGGCUGCCCAAUAUCAGUUGAGAAAGAGAAUAGCUUUUAUGGUUUAAUCGUAAUCCAAAAACUGUGCAAUAUACAAUUUUUUUUAAUUACUUAAUGAAAAUAUGGCACCUUAAAUAAUUUUAUUAAUUAUUUAUUUAGAUUUUAUUUAUUUAUGAGAACCUAUUAUUUUGCAAUUCAUUUUAGAGAUACAUUUCAUUCUACAGCCUAAGGAAAGUUGGAGAAGGGGUCCGUAAAAAUCAGAGAGCAACUUAAGAGAAACUUAUUUUUAAGUAUAAAACAAAGGAAAUCAUAUAUUUAACUUUUGCCAAUUUCAGAAUGAAAUAAAAAUAAUAUAUUUGAUGAUCAUUUUUGAGUAUAAAUUAUUCCAUUCCAAUAGAAUGGAUUUCCUUUCAAUCCUGGCCUUAACAUUUUUACUGUGAUUUUCAAGUCCUGAGAACGGUUAAAUACAAACACAGAGAGUAUUACCAUUUGUGUAAUUUUUUAGCAGUAAAUUAAUUAGUCAUCCAAGAAGAAGUUUAAACUGGGGCCUCCUCUUCCAAUAGGCCAAGUUGUCUGAGGGAUGAAUGAAAUAAUAAAUGAUACACAAUUAUAAGCAUCUUAAGUUCAUCCCCUUGAAACAUCACUACCCCCUUGCAUCUUGUUUGGCUGGGCUUACCGAGAGAUGAUAAAAUCCAUGGCAGCCUAGCUGUAAUGGGACACACAUCGGAAGCUAAUGAUUUGUGUGCCUGUUUUUAGUUCGUUUUCUGAAUGUGCCUAUAUAGUUUAGUUAGUUCCUUUCAAUGAAAUAAACAAGUGUGACUGGAGCCGGGAUAUCUUACUUGAGGAUAAGUCCAUAAUUAGCUGAAUGUAUAUACAUACAACCUCAGUGAUUUGCAGGGCUAGUAAUUAUCAUCUUCUUUUUUAGAAGACAAAUCAUAUAUUUAACUUUUGCCAAUUCCAGAAGAAACCAAGUUAUAUUUCCGGGUAAUAGAAGCCAGAGAUGUGAUGGUGCUAAAAUUGAUAAUAAUAAUAAUAAUAAUAAUAAUAAUAAUUUCAUUUUGUAUCAUCAAUGUAGCGUUUUUUGCUUUUUGCAUGGAAGAUUCGCAUUUAUAGGAGUCGGUUUCCUUUCUAAGAAAAUUAGAGUCUCAGAUUUUCUUGUUCUGAACAAGAAUACUUUGUUUUUCAGUUGAUUACUCUCUUUUUGAUUUUCUGCUGUAUACUCUAGCGAUAGACAUGGACUCAUCCCAAGUCUGCGGAGUCAUAGAAGAAUAUAGUAGCAGUGAGUCCGGGUGGGCAAUGUAUAUAAACUCUCCCAACCACGAAAACAAGAAUGAGGAUGGAGGUGAUCACCAAACAGAUCAAGAAUCUGGGCAUGAUAAUGCAGAGUGAUGAUUCUAUGGCUUCAGACGCCUCUUCAGGUUCAAGUCAUGAUCAUCGUGUAACUUUACACACUAAGGAAAGUUGUGGCAAGGGUGAUUUCAAGUACGCAAAGGAUAAAAAUUUGGUCCAAACUUCACGCAAGAUACCUAGGAAACAGAUGGAGAAGAAGAUGUACAAAAGGAAGAAAGAAGCUGAGACCCAAGAGCCAAAACACCAGCCAUACAGAGCUAUCGGUUAUGGUCAAAGUGGAGCAAAGAAAAUCAAGUAGGAGGGCAGAAGACACUUCAUAGAUUCAGUGAGCACACAGUAGUGUAGUCAGGCAGUAUUAGCUAACUCAAGCACAUGUAUACAUCAUAAAUGUUCACGUGAUCCUUUGUUUCAUGUUCCAUGAUAUAUAAAAGUUUCAAAUGCGUGUGUAUAUAUAUAUAUAUAUAUAUAUAUAUAUACAUAUACAUAUACUUGUAUGAAUAUAUGUCAGACCAAACAUGCAAAAAGGUGAUUUAGAAACUGAUACAGAUCUAGGGUAGCAAAAAUCUAGGGAGCGAUAGCAUAGAGAUGGAGGAUGACAAUUGACAAACACCAAAAUACCAGGCAUUACUAUUAAGAAAAGACGCCACAAAUAUGAUAUUUGAGCUCUACCUCUUCUUGAAGAAAUAUUGUUGGUCUAUUGGUUUCAAAGCUCGUGCUCGUAGUUCAUCUAAAGGCAGUUCAUCUAGCUGAGGUCAAUAAUCAAUGGCAGCAUCAAUGAAAAGCAUUUGAACAUGAAAAAUUAAAAUUUAAGACUUCAUAUAACAAGAAAGUACAUGACCAGAAUAAAGAUCCACGGGACCCCCAGCAAACAUAUAUUGCUCUUAUAAUUAAGAAGAUAGGUCCACCACAAUAUGAAAAAUCAAACCAAAUCUAAAAGAAGUUACAACAAACAUAGAUAAUAUGCAAUUUAGACACUUUCAGUAUAUCUAGAAACAACAAUGCCAAGAAAAGUAUGACAAAAUGAAAUAGAAUCAAAUGCUCGGUCUCAAUCACCAAUGGAACAUUAUUAGGUAUAAAAGACAACAGUUCAAAAUGGUUGAAGACAACCAUCGGAAAUCAGAUCUUUGACUGUUUGGCGAUCUUGAACCAUUCAGUAUGGAAGGCCCCUGGUAUAUCAGUCCUCUCAUAUGUAUGAGCACCAAAAUAAUCUCUUUGCGCUUGAACCAAAUUAGCAGGCAGCCUUUCCCUUCUAUAGGUGUCAAAGUAAGCGAGACUAGAAGACAUACCCGGUGUGCUUAUACCUGCGUUGAUAGCAAGACAAACAACUCUUCGCCAAGCAGAUUGUCGCUCUAUCAUCUCCUUUGCAAACUCUGGAUCCACAAGAAGGUUAGCGAGAUCUGCAUUUCUAUCAUAAGCCUGCUUGAUGCGGUCCAAAAAUAUUGCACGGAUAAUGCAACCCCCCUUCCAAAUCCUAGCAAGCUCCCCAAGUUUUAAACCCCACCCCUUUUCAAUACUCUUUGCGCGGAUCAAAUUCAUUCCCUGGGCAUAACUACAUAUCUUGGAAGCGUACAGCGCUUGUCUGACAUCAUCAAUCAACCUCUUCUUAUCCACAGUUUGGUCAAUGAGGAUGUCCCCCACCCCGCCUGCUUUGAAGACCUCUGCAGCUGCAACUCUUUCAUCCUUCAAACCACUGAGGAAUCUUGAAUCCAAAGAUGAAGCUAUAGUAGGAGCAGCAAUAGACAGCUCAGCAGCUUGCUGGACCGUCCAUUUACCUGUACCCUUCAUGCCUGUUUUAUCAAGAACCUUGUCCACCAAAUACCCAUCUCCCUUAUCAUCCUUAAUUCCAAAUAUAUCUGCUGUAAUCUCGAUUAAGAAGCUCAGAAGUUCCCCCUUAUUCCACUCUGAGAAAACCUGAUGCAAUUCCUCAUUUGAGAGCUUCCCAACUGAUUUUAGUACAUCAUAAGCUUCUGAAAUCAGCUGCAUAUCACCAUACUCAAUCCCAUUGUGAACCAUCUUAACAAAAUUUCCAGAUCCACCUUCGCCAAUGUAUGUAACGCAAGGGCCACUGUCAGGAACUUGAGCAGCCACCUUGAGAAGGAUAUCUUCUAUAUUCUUAUAAGCCUCAAAGGAUCCUCCAGGCAUUAAAGAGGGUCCAUUCCGAGCACCCUCUUCACCACCCGAAACUCCCAUUCCAAGAUAGAGUAAGCCUAAUUCAGCCAUAGCUUUCUCUCUCCUUUCGGUGUUCUCGUACCACUCGUUACCACCAUCAAUGAUACAAUCUCCUUUCUCCAAGUAGACGGAAAGGGUUUUGAUGGUUUGAUCAACUGGUGCACCAGCCUUAACAAGCAUAAUUAUGACUCGAGGUUUCUGGAUUGAAUUAACAAAGGCCUCAGGAUCAUGGAAGCCGUACAAGGGAAGGUUUCCUUCAAGUUGGGCGCGUUCCACGGUCUCGUCAACUUUUGAAGUAGUUCGGUUGUAAACAGAAAUAGGGAAUCCUUUCUCAGCAAUGUUGAGGGCAAGAUUUUGACCCAUGACGGCAAGGCCAGCGAGACCGAUUCUUGUUGGGAGAGGAGCCAUUUCCUUUUCCUGUUUAAAACUUUACCAUCAGACAUCAGUAGAUUAUAUUUAUGGUUUCAUAAAUCACAUGCUAAUGGAGAGGAAAGUUCCAAUAACAUCGAAAAAUGGAAACAAAAAAAUCAUUUAAGGAACCAUUCUAAACAGGCCAGUAAAGUCUAUAUACUUGGGUGAAUCCUAACAAAACAGAACAAAAAGAACCCAAAAAUUCAAGACUUAUUGCAAAGCCUCCAUAUUGUUAAAAUGGAAUCUAAAAAAUCUAUUGGACAGACAAACAUAUCUCAGUGGGAAGGAAAUACAAAUUAACUGUUUAACCAGAAGAACUUGGAACUUAUUUCCAAGAUCCGUGCUACAUUUUGUUGCUUUGAGUAGGAAGUGGGAGAUCCAAUUCAAAUCCCGUAAUUGGUUGCUUACUAUAUUAAAAAUGAAUUUGGAAAUCCCCCAACUCUUCCCCUUCAUAUGGUCCAGUAUUAAAUUCCAAAGAUUCAUAACCUAUAUCCUACCUCCUACAUAGAUGAAUGGGUAAAUCUGAUCUACCUUAUCACAUUCAGCCAAAUAAUUACAAUAUUAUGAUUUCCUGAUCACUUCACCAACAAAUCAGAAAGUGACCUACAGAAGAUGUGCAAAAUAAAGAUUCAAAUAAAAGGAACCGGUUAUAUAAUUGAACCCCAUAUCAAAAGAAUCACAGAUAACUUAAUAGAAUGUUGCCAAGAAGAACCAAAUUUAUGACAAAAACGAGAUGAAAAUGAAAAAAAAAAUAACUUGCUGGUAGAAGUAGUAAAAAAUCAGUAACAAACACAUUAUAUACAUCCAAAGGUUCAAUCAAACUAUAUAGCAGAAAACAAAUCGGGCAAACAAAGUCCGGAAACUUUCAAAGGCAAAGGAAAAAGCAAAAAAACAACAUCUCAGCACUGAUCAAAGAUGAAAGAUUGAAUCUUGACAAGGAAGUAUUACCUCAGAAGAAUACAAAACUAUGAAACUUUACUUCAAAUGGUUCGAACCAGAGAAAUUUUUGGAUCUGAGCUUUUAAGAUCACACUCAAUCAAUCCGGUAGAAGACGAUUAUAUACUGGUAUAAAGAAGGUUCCCACACUAGUCUAUCUUCUGACUUCGGCGGAAGCCCAGUACAUUCACGCGCAAGUCAAAUUCGGCUGGCUUAUCGUUUUCCCCUAUCACCGGUGAAUUGGUGAUUGAUUUACCAAAUGCCCUUCUUUUCCCGCAUAUCCCAGCGGAUCCACCUACCACCAAACUACUCCUACUUAAAAGUUAAAAGGGAUAAAUAACGUUUUCUUCGAACUUUGAUUUUCAUUGUGAUUAUCGAAUUUUUUUUUAUUACAAUUCAAUAAUUAUACUUUCAAAAAUUUAUAAAAUAGUCAUUCCGUCCAAUUUUUCGUCCAAAAAAUAUUAAAAAUACUGACUGUGCAAGUUGACUUGACUUUUUUACUUACGUAGAACACAAAAAAGACAAGCAAGUAGAUUAUUAUAGCACAAAUGACCAAAACUAUUAAUUACUUCACCUAAACAAUUCCAAAACUAAUAAUAAUAAUAAUACUAAUAAUUUCUAAAUAAUAAUAAUAAUAAUAAUAAAUACUAUUAAUAGUAAUAAUUUUAAAAUUCUAUUUUUAAAUUUUUUUAAAAAAAAAUCUGUUAAUUUUAAAAAAGUCUUUUUUUUAAAAGAUUUUUUGUUUUUUAUAAUUCAAUUUUUUUUAAAAAGUCUGUUUUUUUAAAAAACGUUAAUUUUUUAUAAAAACAGAUUUUUUUUAAUUUUUUUAAAAACGUUAAUUUUUUUUAACUGAACUAAUAUUUUUUUUAAAAAGUUAAUUUUUUUUAAAAACGUUAAUUUUUUUAUAAAAACAGAAUUUUUUUUUAGAAAAUUAAUGUUUUUUUGAAUUUUUUUAAAAAUUUAACGUUUUUUAAUUUUUUUUUAAAAAAGUAACGUUUUCAAAAUUUUUUUAGAAAAGUAACGUUUUUUAAAUUUUUUUAGAAAAGUAACGUUUUUUAAAAAAAUUUUAGAAAAUUAACGUUUUUUAAAUAUUUAGAAAAGUAACGUUUUUUAAAUUUUUAAAAAUUAACGUUUUUUAAAUUUAAGAAUUUUUAAAAAAAAUAUUAGUUCAGUUUUAAAAAAAUUAAAAAAAUUCUGUUUUUAUAAAAAAUUAACGUUUUUAAAAAAAACAGACUUUUUAAAAAAAAAUUGAAUUUUAAAAAACAGAUUUUUUUUUAAAAACAUCUUUUUUUAAAAAAAGACUUUUUUAAUAUUAACAGAUUUUUUUUAAAAAUAGAAUUUUAAAAUUAUUACUAUUAUUAUUAUUAUUUUGAAAUUAUUAUUAUUAUUAUUAUUAUUAUUAUUAGUUUUGAAAUUGUUUAGGUGAAGUAUUUAAUAGUUUUGGUCAUUUGUGCUAUAAUAAUCCGCCUGCUUGUAUUUUCUGUGCUCCACGUAAGCAAAAAAGUUAAGUCAACUUGCACAGUCAGCAUUCCUAACGUUUUUUGGACGGAAAAUCGGACGGAAUGACUAUUUUGUAAGUUUUUGAAAGUACAGUUAUUCGAUUGUAAUAAAAAAAAGUUUCGAUAACCACAAUGAAAACCGGACCCCAGUAUAAUGACCAAAACGUUAUUUAUCCCAAAGUUAAAAGCAUGAUUUUUAAUACAAUUUUUUUUUUGUUAUAUCUGCACAGAUCAAAUACUACAUGAAAUAUGUAGAAGGACUAAUUUAUUAUAAAAAUUCCCCUUCUUUAAUUUUCUUAAUUUGUAAAAAAAAACAGAGACCUAAGAAAUUUCGAUAUACAAUCUAAACUGUAGCAAUAAAUUAAGGAUAUAUUUUUAAAUUGCCAAUUUUAAAAAUAAUAUUAAUUAUAAAUAUAGUAGUAGUACGUAGUGACAUGAGGCUAUAAUACUAUUCAAUAAUCAAUAAUUUUAAUAAAAAUAUAUAUUUAUUUGGAACAAACAUAAAAGAAAAAAGUAUGUCUCAUUUUGGAAUGAAAAGGUUAAUUUAUCCAUUCAUUAAAAGCAUUCUUAUUAGAAUUUAUGUUGAGAAAUAUGUCAAAUUCUAAAAUUCAAAUUGUAAUGUAAAUUUAUUUUAAUUUUUAAAAUAAAAAAUUUAUGCUUGGCAAUUUAUAAUAGUAUUAACUAUUGUAUUAAUGUUUACAUGAAUUUUGAAAUUUUAAAUUUACCAAAUUGAAUAUGAUAUAGAAAUCAAGUGGAACAGUAUUUGUGCAUGUGAAAAUUCAAUUGAUAAGAUUCACAUGCUAUUAUAACUUAAUAAAAUAAUAAGAAUUCCACAUAUCUAUUUUUAUUCUCAAAUCAAUCCAUCGUUUCAUCUCUAGUUCACCAAAGCCCUAACACGAAUAAUCUUUCCUGAAAAUUUCCUCUAAUAUUUUUUGAAGCUUUAGUAAGUUAUAAUGUUAAUUUAUUAUAAUGCUCUCUUAACUUAGUGAAAAAAUAUUUAUUUUUUUCAGAUAUGUAGUGAAGUGACCUAUGCGCAUGUCGCGUUAUCAAUUUUUGACGUGACACAACUAAUUGGUAGACAUUAAAAUAAAUUAAGAGAAAAAGUCCGGCCAAUUUAUUUAUUUUUUAUGAUUCCUAAACAAUUUAUAAUAUUUAUUAGAACUGAAUUUUUUAUAAAAUUCAGUGAUUUAGGUGUCAUUUAGAUACAUGUAAAAAACAUAAUUGUACAGUUCCAAAUGAGACCUAGAUCACUGAAUUCUAUAAAAAUUUCAGUUUCAAUAAAUAUUAUAAAUUGUUUGGGAGUCAUAAAAAAAAUUGUUAAAAUUUUUUAUGAGAAAGUGUUCAUGGUAGCAAUAUUUAAUGAAGCCUUAUUUUAAACAAUAAGUCCAUUUUUAAUGUCUAGCUAAAAAAUUUCUUAUCUAGAUUUCUCAGCUCAAUUCACCACCGUUCACAAACCUUAAGCUGUUGUUUGAUACAUGUCAUCUUAGCUCCUAAUCCUUAAUAACAUAGAUUUAUAUUUGAUAAUCUUAAUUUUUUUUCAUAAAUUAGAAAGUAGACCUGAUAAACAGGUGAGACAACGAUUAAAAGCUCGAUUUUUAUUGGGUUACAAAUGUAAAUACCAUGACCACAAUAAUGUGUACAAGAUAAUAAAUUCAUGAAAAAUGAUAUUUGUUUAUAAAAACCAUCAUUUAUAAAAUAUAUUUUUAAUUUUGGAUCCCAAGGAAUAUUUAAAAUUAUCAUAGGUAGUAAUUUCGUAGACAAUAUUUUAAUUUUAAAUUUAUUACUCUUUAUAAAGUUCAUUAGCAGUUGAAAGAACUUAUGAAGUAGUCUAGAUUUUAAAGUUGUAAAUAAAUAUUAUAAAAAUCAAAAAAGAAAGAAAAUAUAUACAAAUGAUUCUUCACAUUAAAGGUGAGACUCCACAAUUCUUUGUUUAAACUGUGUUAAUUUGAAUUAGGUUGUGUUUAAUUUCUUAUCAUUUGUUAAUUUGAGCUUGAAUCUAGAUAGUAGUUUGAAGAUGAUGCAGCAUCAUAUUAGUAUUAGCACGAAAUAAGAAAUAAAGGCUUGUGAGAAGUAUAUUGACAAAUACUAAUCUAAUUAGUUAAAGAAAAUUGCUCCAUCUAACACCCAACCCAAGAGCAUGCAUUCAAUGUUGCUAUAUAUAAGAGCAUCUCCAAACAAAUAGACAAACAUAUAAAUAUUCUUUUCGCUCUUAAAUCUAUAACCUCCUUUCUACUCUUCAAAUCUAUAAUUAAAGGCUAAAAAUAUUUAUUAUAUAUGUUUGAUAGGUCUGAUGUAUAGCUCAUUAGAUUGAAAAGACUGAUGACGCACAAAAUAUGAAAAUAACAAAUAAUACUCUUUAAAUUAUCACGUAGGUCAACAAAUAUUAAUUUGAAAAAUAUUUUUUACUCCUACUCUUGGAGAUGCUCUAAUAAGGUCAAAUGUAUGAGUAGAGAGACAAGAUGUACAAGCGAUGAAGGCUGUUGGAAAAAACUAUAAACUUAAUUUAGCUGCUUAUAAUGAGUUGCCUUUUUCAAAUGUUUUAAUCUUCUAGUACGUAGUUCAUUGUAUAUAUUAUUAUCCACUACUACCAGCACCUCCACCACCAUUUGUCCCAUUGCUCUGCUACAGUGAGCAAAAACAUGACUUAAUUUGGCCUUCCUUCAAACUACCUGCUGGAUCCUGUUUCCAUGAAGAGCCGGAAAUAUUAUUUAUCCCCAUAUUCAUUCUGUGAUUACGCAAAAUAUUAGAAGAGCCGGCCGGAAACUGGUGUUUUUAAAUAAUGAAUAUUUGUUCACGAGGAAAACUAUAUUUAUUUAGCUCCUUUGGUAUAUGGUUCAUGAUGUUAUAAACCUCUAUUUUCCUUUGAAUGAGACAAAUAUAUAGUAGCAUAAUUCAUACUUGAGAGAAUAAGGAAUAUAUAUAUAUCAAAAAGUGGAUAUAGAACAAACGUUAUUAUUCCAUCAAACGUAUAUAUAUACAUAUUUAUUUCUAGUGUUUUGUUGCAGUUUGUGACAAUUUGAGUGAUUAAUCUCGUUGAAGAAAAUUUGAGGAAUUUCUGAUGCAUUGGUUUGAAGAUUCAGCCCUGAGAUGGGCGGCUGUGCAAGGAAUUAAUCUACUCGAUCCAGAUGUCUCAAAUUAAACCGUCGUAAGUAAAUGAAAGUUGAAUGUCAGUUAGCCUGUGACGAAGGUCGGACGCCUCUUCCUUGAGCCAUGCAUUCUCUAGAAGAACUCUGUCAUGGCUCUCUGAUGCAUCAUUCAACUUGUCUAUGAGGUCCUGAUUCUCAGUUCUUAGACGCAGCACCUGUGACCAGAGCUCAUCUAGUUGUUUCUGCUUCCGCAUCCUUGACCUGCGAGCAGAUUCUCUAUUAGAAAUCAUCCUCCUUAGCUUUCUCUCGUCGAUGAUGCUAAGCUGAAGCUCAUGAUCAUCUCCUUCGUCUGAGGUUGAGUUAUUGCUGAUACACGAGGGCUGCGGAGUGAACUCAUGGACGGAAAGAGAGGUUUGAAAAUUCGGAAAGUUGUUUAAGAAGCUGCUGAAAGGGAGUGAUGGCAUGCUAUUAUCCUGCAUCAACCCAAAAUUAUUUGCAAAAUGGGUUGAUUUUUCUUGAGCUAGGGGGUGGUGGAUUCCUGCGAUCUCGGACCGAAAAAGCAUGGCUAAAUAUGGUUGGUGUAAGAGUGAAUUUGAAGGUUUAUUGUGCAGAUAGUGUAGAGAGGGGAUGGACAGAAUGAGGGGUUUUAUAGGAGGAUUAAACAAACAUAUAUAGUAAUAGCACUUCAAAUGUGUGUGAUGUAUGCAUGUAAUGAUUGGAACUGAUACUAUAUACUACAAGUAUAUGUGUAUGUGUGUGUGUGUGUUCAGUGUUGAUGCAUGUAUAUUUCUUGGAUAACGGAUAACUUGAGUUUUUGGAUAAUCAUUGAUGUAAUUCUUACUGGGGAAGGAAUGUUUGUGGUAAAAAUGAUGAAAAAAGUAGAGCCAAUGAGAAAAUAGUCUUUCAAAAUUCAUUCUAAAUGUUGUCCCCUUCUGAUUGAUGACCAAUUGUGGGUGACUGGAAAAAUUAGAGCCAUACAAUAAAAAUAGAAUUUUAAUUAGUGACCAUUUUUAUAUUAAUUCAGUGACUGGAAGGGCACUUCAAUUUAGAUUCAGGGGACCUAAUGAGUAUUGAAAAUAUUAGUAUUAAUUAUCUCGACAAUUAACAUCUAGUACGUAACUUCAUUUCUUCCAUUUUUUUACUUUUUAUAUUAUCAUGUUAUUACUAUUAUAUUUUUAAUCAAUCUUAAAAUUAAAAUUAAAAAAAUAUUAUUAAAAAUCUUCGUUUUAUAAAUAUAUCUACAAUAACAUUAAAAAUAGGAUGACUACUAAGGUUGAGUAAUACCAAUAAAACUAUUUUGUUCAGUUUCGUUUGAAGUUCUAUUAAUAUUACAAGAAUGCUCUACUCCAUAUAAUUAGCACUUGGCAAUGAUAAUUACCAGAAGUGCUGAAAUGUACUCGGCAUCUUUUAGGUUCUAAAUUCUGUCUCUUUCACACCAAAUUAACUAGCCGUCACCACAGCUUCUCACGUCUCUCUCUCUCUCUCUCUCUCUCUCUCUCUCUCUCUCUCUCUCUAACAUGCAUUCUUAUUAUAUAUAAUUAAGCAUAAUUAAGAUCGUGGUCAAUUAUUAUUCGGUAAUGGUUUAUAAUUAAUUAAUACAAGGAAGAAGUCAAUAUAUAAUACUGCCCUUGUAUGCUUUUAAAGGGUCAUUGUCAUUUAUUAGUAUUUCUUUGAAGAAUAAUUAUAUAUAUAUAUAUAUAUAUAUAUAUAUAUAUAAUUAUUCUAUUAUUCUUGAAAAAUGGAUCAAGAAAAGUGUAGACAAAUCUCAGAGGUAGCAACGUGCAACCGAAUUGAAGAUGUUCUAUAUAUUUAUAUUUAUAUGCAUGCAUGCUAGUAUUAAUUAUUAUAUUAAUAAACAGUUCGAUAUAUAUUAAUUCCACCCCUAGUACGUACUACUAUUAUGUUAUUUUAUAUGUUUAAUUGGUGAUUACCCACUAACCAAAUUAAACAUCCCUUUGGUGCAACUUGAUCCAACAAGAGAAAACUAAGAAUCCGGCCGGAACCGCAAGGUUCCACGCAAUCCUUGAAAUAUUUAAUUUAAAGGCUUCUACUAUUCUAUUCUCUAGUCAGUAGUCAUGUACUGCAUGCCUAAUCAAAUAAUUUUAGUUAAAACCCCCCACUAAUUAAAACAUCAUCAGCUAAUGGUGGAUUCCCUUUUUAGAUAUAUAUAUAUAUAUAUAUAUAUAUAUAGAGAGAGAGAGAGAGAGAGAGAGAAAUUAACGUUGAUCGAGAAUACCAAAUGUGUGCCAUAAAUCCCAUACAUUUUUAAAGAGUAAAUAUUAAUAUUACAUUUUGAACAAAGAGUAUUAAUUAUUUUUUAAAAAAAUAAUUUACUCCAUAAUAUUAAUAAUUUUAUUGACUAAAAUCUUAUUUACUUUUAAUAUUCAUUCGUUCGUGUUUGUAAUUUAAUUUUUUCAUUACUUGAACAAAUCACCUAAUAAAAACUAUGUUUAAUUACCUAUAAUUUUAAUAAGUUUUUUUCCCUUCCAGCUACACGUGUCUGCCAUGUGAGGUUUUGAAGAAAAUUUUUAUGAGACCUCUUGUCACCUUAACAAUGUCCCUUCUCAAGUUUCCAUCAAGAACUAAUUUGCAAGCUUUAGAAUUUGGUAGCAUCACUUAAAUUGUACCCGCGUGUGGGUUUUUCUCCACUUUUCCCCCACCCAAACAACCCAAUUAGUUAUAAUCAAGUAUACUUUCUUUUUUAUCAUGACGAUUAGGUCAUUGUGUUGCGAUAUAUAAUAUAUAUUGGUUCUAAUAGGAUAAGCUCAUCAUCUUAAUACCCUCUUGCGCGUCUUUUAUUCAUCAAUACUCGUGCAAUUUUAUAUGUUGAUUUUUUAAUUACGAAUUACGUAGAUAAUUAUAUAAUUGAUAAUAUUUUAACGAUAUAUUUGAAAUAAUAUGCUAAUUUUAUAAUUCUAUUUAUUGAUAUAUAUAUAUAUAUAUAUAUAUGGAUUCCAUUCAUAACAACCGGUUGUUGGGAGCAACUCAUUUUUGGCCAGCCGCUACAGCCUGUAGCGGCUUAUAAAAAAAAUAAAAAAAUUANNNNNNNNNNNNNNNNNNNNNNNNNNNNNNNNNNNNNNNNNNNNNNNNNNNNNNNNNNNNNNNNNNNNNNNNNNNNNNNNNNNNNNNNNNNNNNNNNNNNAUAUAUAUAUAUAUGUUAUAAUUGUACGUGGCAAAGACUCUUAAUUUUUUGGCCACAAGAUUAAUAUAUAAAUAUUCAGUUCUUAAUUACCAUCUUUCCAGAUGUUAUUAGAAUAAUGAUACGAUAAUAAUUAAUGGCAAAAAUUGUUGUUUAAGGUUGUUUAUAUAGUUGGUCAGAUUAUAAUGAUAAUGAUAAUGAUAAAUUGUUCAUGGACGACAAUGCUUUUGUAAGUCCAUUCUUUAAGUGUGCAUUAAACUUCAAUUCUUUAACUUUGUUUAUGGUAAUGGCCAAUGGGAUUCGAUAAUUAUGGAUUAUUUAAAAAUAUUUUAUGUGGACAUCGUGCUCCUCUAGGCUCUAAUUAUAUAUGCUUCCACUUGUCAAGUUGUAUAUAGAGACUCUAUUUGUGAUCAGAUUUUAGAAUUCAUGGCCCUCCUUACGUUACGUACCUUACUAAUUAAGUUUGUCAAUUCCUAAAUUUGAUUGUCCUCCACGGCAAUCAAAUUUAGAAAUUGGAUUUAAUGCAAAAAAAAUUUAAUCAAGAUCGACUUUAUUAAAUCAAAUUAAUUUUUAAUAACUGAAGUUGUUAAAAGUCCGUGUAUAGCAGAGCCAUAGGCAUGGUGUCAUACAUUUGGUAAUAUUUCUCGUCUCACCACUUAAAAUAUCUUACACACUCUUUUUCAUGAAACAUGUUUUUUUUUUUGCCAAUAUUUUAUUCUAAAAUAAAAGAACUCUAUUUUUAUUUUAUUUUAUUUUAUGAAAUAGGAGUAUAAAAUGACACAUGCAGUGUGCUCAAAUUAAUCGUUACUACAAUUUUACUACAUUGACGUCAUUCUGAAGUUUAAAAUGUACACAUAAAUAUGGAAUAAAAAUAAAUUCUUCAACUUUAUAACUUUGAUGGAUUAAUUUUUGUGGGACAGACCAAUGGAGGACUUGCAAAAGUUUCUAGAAACCAUAGUAUUAAUUAAUAUACGUACAGAGUUUUGCUAAAUUACUUGCAAAAAUAGCUACCUAAUCUUAUAUAUUGUUUGAAUUUUCUUUUAUUAAAGAAGUGGAUGACUAAUACAUUAAGGACUCGUCAAGAACUUAAUUAAUCCUUGAAUCCCACCACGGCCACUACCAGAAACUAAGUCAAUUCUUUAAUGACAUCAACUAUAUACACACAUACAUAUAUAACCGUACGUAUUCUCAAAUUUGUCAUGAUGGAAGUGCUUAUUGCUUUAUUUAUUUAUGGUCAUCUUUGAACCUAAUGGUGUGAAAAUGUCAACUUCAAUGCUUUUUGGUGCUUCCAGUAAUGGCCUUGUGACACUAAGUUGGGCUUUGAAUUCUUUUUAUGAAAGUGAGGGAGGGAGUAAAUUGAGGUAUAAGUGCAGAAAAUGAAAUGAAAUCAUUAAUUAGUUAAUGGGUUCAUAUAUGCACUCAUUUUCUUCAAAACUAUUACUCUCUCCCUCCCUAAAUAACUGACGUUUAAGAAUUCUUUGCAACAAUUAAAAAAAAUUAAACAUGACUCUUUUGUCCUUAAUAAAUAAAUUAACCAAACAAGAAAUAAUUACUCCACCACGUUAAAAUCUUAUCAGUUCUAUUUGUUGCCAUAAUUGUUGAUAGAAACAAGGAAGAAGAUGCAAGGCCAAUGGCUCAUCCAAAAUUUUUUGCCGCUAAAUUUUUGCUUCAAUUUUCUUUUUCGCUCUAAUAUAUUGUUGAUACCAGCAUAAAGAAAGAAGCUUGAAGACGUCAAUUGCUUGACUUCUGCUACUCACUUAGGAAGCUUGAAGACGUCAAUUUUUUUCCUGUAUCUGGUGAAGACUUCUGCUACUUAUUUAGGAAUCCAUGGAGAUGAACAAUUGGCUUCCUAAUCAUAGCAAGGAGGCAUUAGGAGACAGAGUUUGAAAAACAAUCAAAUUCAUCCCCAACCACAUGAACUAUACAGAAACUAAGAAACCUGUAACCAAAUUUCAAAUGACAAAGUCAUUUUUCUAGCAACCAAAUCCUCUCAAAUUGAAGUUUGUCAUUCUCUCAAAUUGAAUAGAUUGGUUCUUGGUUUGGGGCAAGUGAUAUUGCUAUAUCCUAUAUUUAUUCAGCAAGACAAUGCAAGAACUCAUAUUGCUUUGAAUGAUAAGGAAUUUUGUCAAGCUGCUGCACAAGAUGGGUUUAAUAUUUGUUUGAUGUGUCAACCUGCAAAUUCUCCAGAUUUGAAUGUUUUGGAUCUCGGAUUUUUCCAUGCCAUUCAAUCAUUACAACAGAAAGAGCCUAUUAAAAAUAUUGAUGAGCUGGUAAAUGCUGUGGUGAAGGCUUUCAACGAUUAUCUUACAUUGAAGUCUAACCGUAUAUUUUUGUCAUUACAACUGUGUAUGAUAGAAAUAAUGAAGGCCAAAGGUUCGAACAAGUACAAGAUACCACAUAUCAAAAAAGCAUUGUUGGAAAGAGAGGGCAGCCUACCGACUCAAAUAAAAUGUGAUUUUGAAUUGGUACAAGAAGUUAUGAAUUAUCCAACUCCAUUUGAUGUAGGUAUGACUUGAAUUUUUGUAUACUAAUAUCUGUAAUUGUCCUUAAAUAGGUGUUGGUUGAUUUAAUUGGUUCUCACAUUGUUCUACAGACUAACUCAAGUGCUUUUCAAUUUUAAGUUAGAGGCCUUUUGUAUGCAGUUGCCAAGAGCUUCUUAAUUUUGGUACUACAGACUAACUCAAGUGCUUAAUGUUGGUGUUUUUAUGUUGAAAAUGUUAUUAAGACUGCUUAAUUUGGUUUUAACAAUGUUGCUUAAUUUUGGUUUAUUCUGGUGGAUGCAUUCUCUUCAAUCUACUGUCUUGAUCAUUGUGUUCUUAUAUUGAAGUUAAAAUUCUGCUGGUGUAUGAAUUUUGCUGAAAACUUCUUUUAAAAAUAAUGUAUGAUUCUAACAGGAGCAGUUGGGAAUUUUAAGUUAUAAAUGUAUUUACAAUCUAUAGUAGAUUUGCUAAUGAAUAGGCAGUUGCCAACCGACCUGGUGCAUUCACUUCUUAUCAGUCCCAAACUUCACAAGAAAUACAUUAUAGAUAGUACAAUUUUUUGCUUUGGAUGUCAUUACUAAUUUCAAUAUGCGAAAUUUAGUUGUAUUUCCACUAAUUCAAUGAUUUUUCACUCGGUAUACAGGAUGCAUGUUGAGAAUGUAAUUUUAUGGCAAUCUGGCUAUACCAUAAAAAUAAUUCCAUGAAGCCUUACAUUUCAAGGUUACACACACCAGGAUUCAAAACCACAAGAAUGCAAAACACACGCCGAAGCACAAAAAAAUACAACAGCAGAUGGAUGAAAACAGUAUCUACUGUAUCUUCCUUCAUGUUCUAUUUUCAGGAAGCAACUUUAGAUGGGGGCAUGACUAAAGCAUUGCAAUGUUGACAUAAGGUUUAAGACAUGUGAACCAUCAGCCAAUUUUAAUGUGUUGUUGCUAAUGAGAAUAGAACUCUCUCUUGUAAAUCUUUUCUAUUAGAUGCUCAUUCAUGAAACUCAAUAAAAGAGCAGAGCUACAAAUAGAUUUUAAUGUAUAAAAUUAUUAUAUAAAUAUUAGACUCAUUCUGAUGGAUUCCUAUGCUUUCUAAGCUUCAUUUUCUUUGUGCUACUAUUCGAGAUAAUAAUUUUGGUAAGCUUGAAUAACAUCCUCAAGCUUCACUUGAACAUGAAGCCAUUAGCAAUAAGAUAGUCAAGACCAUUAAAGAUAUGGCUACAAAAAAUCACCAAACUCAUCCUCCAACUCAGUACCCUUCAAAUGCUAAGUUGCUUACUUGAGAUAACAGUAAUUCUUCACAUUAACCUGAAAGAAAAUUGAAAAUUCUGACAUGAAAGAGGAAUAUGACAAGGUCAAGGCUAUGCUUUCAAACAAACACAUAAUACGAUCUCCGAAUACAGGCCAUGCAAGCAUUUGAUAAUAUACUCUAUUUUUUUUCAUUCACUAAAUGAUGAUUUUCAACAAACAGAGAGUUCAUUCAAAAAUUUAACAUUACAACUGACAUGGUUAAUAAAAUUUUGAAAGAUACACUUCAUCUUCAUCUUCAAUUUGGGUUUACAAUAUACUCUGUUUUUUUAUAUUCUCUCUCUCUAAAAUUCCUGUUCUACAAAAUACUCCAUGUUGUUCUCGAAACUCUCUUCCUGCCAGGAAAGUAAAUAGAUAUUAUUAGAUUCGCUAUAUUCAUUGUAUAGUAUAAUUCCCAUAUAAUCCCAUUUACCUAACUUAGCCUAACUAUCCUACGAUAGUCCCACAAAUCAAGCAGAAUAGAAUCCUUCCCAUAUAUUAAGGAUUCUCAUGUAUCAAUUAGUUUGUAUAACGAAUCCUUCCCAUAUAUUAAGGAUUCUCAUGUAUCAAUUAGUUUGUAUAAAUAUUAACCUUAAAGAAAUAAAAUACUCAGGGAAAUAAACUCUUUUAUGGUAUCAAAGCCUCUUCUUCUCCAAAUCCCCUUCUUUAUUCUUCCCCAUGGCUACCCUUCACCCUGCCCUUGCUAUAAACAACAUCAAAAAUCAAAUUCCCGUCAUCUUAGCCAUGGAUAAUGAUGAAUACGAUACCUGGGUGGAGUUGUUCCGUCUCCAUUGCACUGCCACCCUGGUCCUCGACCACAUCCUGCCCCCCGCCCGAUCCACCGACCAAUCCCCCUACGGACCCCGCUAUCUAGGCUCGUCUGGAUGCCGUCGUCCUCCAGUGGAUUUACGGAACUAUCUCCAAUGAUCUGCUCCACACCAUCAUUGCCCCAAAAUCCACCGCUCGACAGGCGUGGAUAAGUCUGGAAAAUAUAUUCCAGGAUAACAAGGCCACCCGUGCUGUAAGUUUGGAGCAGGAAUUCAACACUAUCCACCUCAAAGACUAUCCGUGUAUCACUGCAUAUUGUCAGGCCCUGAAAAAGCUCUCUGACCGUCUCACGAAUGUCGGCGCUCCGGUCACAAAUCAACGACUGGUCCUCCGGCUCAUCGUCGGCCUCAACUCCAACUACGAUGGCAUUGCUACUUUCCUUUCUCAAAGCUCGCCCCUACCAACAUUCUCCGAGGCCCGUUCACGAUUAAUCCUUGAAGAAACACGAAAAGCUAAUCAGGCUGCCAUGGAGGCAACCACCGCAGACACUGCCUUAUAUCAUCAGUCCCCGCCAGACCCGAAACUGGACAAUUCGUUCACCCACAAACGUCCAAAUUUCCGCGGAUCUGGCCACGGUAAGGGCCGUAACAAUCGCCGCCAGGGUCGUGGGGGUGGCCACGAUGCAUCCUCUGGUGGCUCCUCUGCUUCUGCCAUUUAUCCCUAGGCUCCAUAUCAGCCGUGGAGAUGGGGGUGGGCCCCACCUUGCCCCUACCCCACCUCUGUCAAUCCGCGCUCUCCACCGAGCCGCUACCAUGGCAUACUCGGCCGAGCACCGCAACCCCAGGCCCAUGUUGCCUCAGCUGCUGCUCCCGACGGUCCUUCCCCGACAGACAUCGAGGCUGCGAUGCACACUUUGGGUUUAACUCCUCAGGACCCGAAUUGAUACAUGGACACCGGUGCAACUUCUCACAUGACUCCGUCUCAAGGUAAUCUCUCAUCUUAUUUUAAUUUGAGCACUAAAAGAAAUAUAAUAGUCGGUAGUUGCCAAGGAAUACCAAUUCGGGGCUACGGACAGGUCACAUUACCUCCCAUUUACCCUCGCCUUAAACUACAUAAUGUUUUACAUGCCCCCAAGCUCAUUAAAAAUCUGAUUUUCGUUCGCCGUUUCACUACCGAUAAUAACGUAACAAUUGAAUUUGACCCUUUCAGUUUUUGUGUGAAGGAUAUCCGGACGAGACAACCAAUCUUGAGAUGUAACAGCACUGACGACCUAUACCCUCUACUACCCUCCCCUACCACCCAACGCAACCCGACAGCCCUAACCACCACAGCUCCGUUUUUAUGGCACGAAUGUCUGGGACACCCGGGGCCAGCUAUUCUUCGUUCAUUGCGUCAAAAUAAAUUAAUUUCUUGCACCUCUAGAAAUAGUUUAUCUAAGUGUCAGUCUUGUAUUUUCGGGAAACAUAUUAAGUUGCCAUUUAUUGAUUCUUCUAGUCAAACAUUGUCUGCUUUUGAUAUUAUUCACAGCGACUUAUGGACCUCACCAGUUUUGAGUACUGCAGGACACAAAUACUACUUAGUAUUACUUGACGAUUAUACAAAUUUCUUGUGGACCUUUCCAAUUGGCCAAAAAUCCCAGGUUUAUCCCAUAUUCUUAACUUUCGCAAAAUAUAUAAACACACACUUCAAUAAACAAAUAAAAAAUUUCCAAUGCGACAAUGGCCGAGAAUAUGAUAACUCAAAUUUUGCCCAGUUUUGUAAAAACCACGGAAUGAGUUUCCGUCUCUCCUGCCCCCACACAUCAUCUCAAAAUGGUAAAACCGAACGUAAAAUCCGCUCCAUUAAUAAUAUCAUCCGCAGAUUACUCCACUGCGCAUCCAUGCCCUUUUAUUUUUUGGCAUUAUGCGCUCCACAUGGCAACCUACAUAUUUAAUAUACUUCCCAGCAAGCUUCUUGCUUACUCCUCCCCAACCCAACUCUUAUAUCAACCCACACUUUCCUACACACACCUCCGUAUUUUCGGCUGUUUAUGCUAUCCCCUAUUCCCACCCCCCACCAUACAUAAACUCCAAAAACACUCCACCCCGUGUGUGUUCUUAGGAUAUCCCCCCAAACAUCGUGGAUACAUGUGCUACGACCUCUCUAGUGGCAAAAUUAUCAUAUCCCGCCACGUGAUUUUUGAUGAGUCCAAUUACCCCUUUGAGGCUGCCCCGUCCGCUGCCCCCACUCCACUCGCCAGAGUCGAUGAUGACCCUUCCCCUCUAUUACAUGAGCUCAUUGACCCCACCUCGGGUGCCCCAUGUACGACACCACCUGUCUCCCCCACUCGGACAGAUCCACCGCGGCAUGACUCCCCACCCCCUGUACCAUCAAAUACCACCACAACCUCCCCUAUCACAACCCCAUUCCCUCCCUGGACAAUGACCACUCGCGGUAUGCGCGGCAUUUUCAAACCAAAAUAUCCCCUUAACUUAUCUAUUAUCUCCAGCCCUUCCCCCAUACCUCGUAACCCAAUCAGUGCCUUGUCCGACCCGAAUUGGAAAUAGGCCAUGCUCGACGAGUACAAUGCUCAUAUUAUUAAUAAGACUUGGGUAUUAGUUCCGAGACCACCUAAUGUGAAUAUAACUCGGUUCAUGUGGGUUUUUCGGCACAAAAAGAAAUCUGACGGUUCUUUUGAACGGCAUAAAGCCCGUCUUGUUUGUGAUGGCAGGUCCCAGCAGGUUGGCAUCGAUUGUGAUGAGACGUUCAGCCCAGUUGUCAAACCGGCCGCCAUUCGUGUAGUUCUCAGUCUUGCUCUGUCUCGAUCAUGGACUAUUCACCAACUUGACGUCAAGAACGCUUUCUUACAUGGCCAUUUGCAGGAAACAGUCUAUAUGCAUCAAACUCCUGGUUUCCGUGAUCGUCACCAUCCCGACUAUGUCUGCCUAUUGAAGAAAUCCCUUUAUGGCCUCAAACAGGCUCCACGAGCUUGGUAUCAGCGAUUUGCUGAUUUUGUUUCGACUAUUGGCUUCACUCACAAUCGGGUGAUCAUUCCCUAUUUAUUUAUCAUAAUAAUAAUGACACCGCCUAUCUGCUCCUCUAUGUUGAUGACAUCUUGCUUAUUACCUCAUCUGACAAGCUCCGCCAGUCAAUCAUGUCUCGUCUUGCCUCCGAAUUUGCCAUGAAAGACUUGGGUUCCUUGAGCUAUUUUCUAGGUAUCGCAGUAACUCGACAUAAGGAGGGCCUUUUCCUGAAUCAACGCCAAUACGCCAAGGAAUUAAUUGAGCGCGCAGGUAUGACCGACUGUAAGCCAUGUGCCACUCCCAUUGACACCAAACCAAAACUUAGCUCGGUCUCUGGAUCACUUUAUAGCAAUCCCACAUUGUAUCGUAGCCUUGCAGGUGCCUUGCAAUAUUUUACAUUCACCAGGCCAGACAUCUCCCAUGCCGUUCAACAGGUAUGCCUACACAUACACGCACUAAGCAAUGACCAUAUGGCUAUUCUUAAACGUAUCAUCCGCUACGUCAAAGGAACAAUAACUUUCGGCCUUCACCUUUACGCCACCCCUGCUACUGAUCUUGUAUCUUACACCGAUGCCAAUUGGGGCGGCUGCCCAGACACCAGAAGAUCAACAUCCGGGUAUUGUGUUUUCUUGGGCGAUAACUUGGUCUCUUGGUCCUCUAAACGCCAACCAACCAUGUCCCGCUCCAGUGCUGAAGCUGAAUAUCGGGGCGUUGCCAACGUCGUCUCUGAAUCCUGUUGGCUCCGAAAUCUACUACUUGAGCUCCAUUGCCCCCCACGAAAAGCUACAAUUGUUUAUUGUGACAAUGUGAGCGCCAUUUACCUAUCCGGCAACCCUGUCCAGCACCAAAGAACUAAGCAUAUUGAAUGGAUAUCCAUUUUGUCCGUGAACAGGUUGCUCGGGGUCAAGUUCGUGUUCACCACGUACCGUCCCGUCAUCAAAUUGCUGACAUCUUCACUAAAGGUCUUCCGCGCGUGCUUUUCAAUGAUUUUCGGGACAGUCUCAGCGUUCGUGAACCUCCCGCUUCGACUGAGGGGGUGUAUUAGAUUCGCUAUAUUCAUUGUAUAGUAUAAUUCCCAUAUAAUCCCAUUACCUAACUUAGCCUAACUAUCCUAUGAUAGUCCCACAAAUCAAGCAGAAUAGAAUCCUUCCCAUAUAUUAAGGAUUCUCAUGUAUCAAUUAGUUUGUAUAACGAAUCCUUCCCAUAUAUUAAGGAUUCUCAUGUAUCAAUUAGUUUAUAUAAAUAUUGACCUUAAAGAAAUAAAAUACUCAGGGAAAUAAACUCUUUUAGAUAUGAUUAAUAAAAAUUAGGGAGAUAGAUCUUCAACAUAUCCAUGAUAACAUCUUGAAAUUUUUCUUCACAAACUUCUUCGGCUACAUUUGGAAACUUGUUCAAAUCGAAUCCGAGAUCCGCAGGUUGAUUCAAAUCAAAGUUUCUUGGAACUUUGAUAUUUUCAGAAUCAAAAUUCACGAAAUCUCCAUUUUCUUGCAUUUUCAAUCUAUGGAGUACUGUGUUUUAAGAGAAGAAUUGCAGGUAUGGUUUCUUAGUUCCAUACAGGUCAAGCAAUCAAUCCACUCUUGGAAACCAACGAGAAUGUCAAGAGCUUUUUUUCUUUUUUGAACCAGAACCAGAAGACGCUAGUACUAAGAAGAAAGGGUAGUAUUGGAAUAAAAGUGGACAAUUUAGCUUUAAACUUUUAAAACAUCUAUUAUUUUAAGAAAAAUAAAAACUCCUUAAACGUCAGAUAUAAUAGGAUGGAGGGAGUACUACUUUUUUCAUUGACCGAGUGCUGAUAUUCAUCAUCCAUCAAAAUAUAUAGUCCUUUGAAUUCUAGUCUCCAAUACUCUGGGAAAAAAAAUAUCAGCUGAAGAAAAAAAAUACAAAGUGCAUGCAUGACUCACAUGUUACAACUUAUUUUAAAUUUGAUCAUAAAAUGGAAAGUUUUUAUUUAUUUUUGCCGUGAUGUUUAUGAAUGGUUCCAAAUAUUACAAAGAUUUUUAUCUUUGAACUGUUGGAGAUGGGGUUACUUCGAUGGUUCGUUCAAAUAUUUUUAUUUCACAAAUUACUACUAUUUCAGAUACGUCAUGGUGUAGGAUUUUUUGGAUACGCACACGCACAUAAAAUAAAUACAAAACUUCCUAUUCCCCAUCUUCGUCGGUAUAACAAUACAUUCUACCAGGUACAUAUCAGCAAUAUGUCAUCUGCAGUAUAAUAAUAUAUUCACAGUAUAAUUAACUUACCCUUAACCUGACCCUGACAUAUUGCCAAGUGUUUGAGAUUAAUUACUUAGCUAUAACCUUGUUCGACGAUAACUUAAAUGAUACAGACGGAGGAGUUAACUUACCUCCUCCUUAAUUCUUGUUCUUAAUCUUAUCCUUGGACCCUUCACGAGGUUUUUGUGUUGUUCCUUCCCCUAUCUCUUAGGACUUAGGAGUCAUUAUUAGGGUUGGCUUCCUUUAGCCUACUUUAUCUAGAUGCAUGAGAAAGCUCCAUCUAAUAACAGACUCAAUAUUGACGUCUUGCUUCCAAAGCAUAGUGCUUACAAUUAUCACCGGACAUGUGUAUGUUGUGUUGCAGGCCGGUUAGUGAGUCUAGUCCUCACCUUUACCUUCAUUGUCCUGUAAAAUGGGAGAUUAAUUUGGCAUAACAAUCAUCCGCCGAAUCACAAGUCCCCCCUCGUACGUAUUUUUCUUCAUUUCCUCCACCAGAUGCCUUUAACAAAGACCACCCUCCUGCACACACAUGUACAUACAUAUAUAUAUAUAUAUAUAUAUAUAUAUAUAUAUAUAUAUAUAUAUAUAUAUCAUAAUAUGAAUAAUUAAAGAGAGAGAGAGAGAGAGUAAUUAAUUACCAGGUACAAGAAGAAUCAUGAGGAUGAUCAAGUAAGCGAACUUGUUGUAUGAAGCCUUCAAGGCCAUAUUUUUGUAUAUAUGCUACAUACCAAAAAAUAAUGAAGUUCAUAUAUAUGGAGUAUAUCGCUUGAUGCACGAAUGAAUAUGUAUAAGGAGAGCCAAAACGUCGUCCUCUAUAAUUAAAUGAUGAAAAUAAUUAAGCUGAAUUUCCUAACCCUAUUAUAUAUAUAUAUUCACUUAUACGUGAAAUAAAAAUCAUUAAAGAUACUCUCCACUCUGCAAAAAGAUAUUCAAUUAUUUUUUUUCUAUUUAAUUUACAAAAAGAUAUAUAUUUGUGUAUCAAGCAAUAUAUAUGAACUUCAUUAUUUAAUUUGAGAAUAUUCAUUCUGCAAAAUACGUUGCCCUUGGUCAUGAUGUAUACACCGGUCAAAAUUUGGUCAAACUUAAAUUGUUUUUUUUUUAAUUUUUCUUAUCCUAGCUGAUGUUAUAAAAAAAGUUGUUUAGGACUAUAAAUAAGUACGCUUAUUAGGGGUGCUUGUGAACAAAUACGUUUUGUUUAAUUGAGAAUAUUAUUUUUCGUUCUCUUUAUGAGUUCUUUAUCUUUUUUUGCGGAUUCAAGCUAGGAUUUUUAUUCUGUUCUUGUUGGUACGAUAACCUUCAAAUCACUUUUGUGUUAGAGCGUUACAAUUUAACCAUUAUUAAUUCUGCUACGUAUGAAAGAUAAAUUAAAUAAUUUAAAUUUUAUUGUAGGGAUAAUAUGAUAAACUAAGUCAAUAUAUUAAUGCUUUCUUAAAAUAUAAAAACGAUAAAUAAAAAGGAACGAAUUAAAUUUUACUCUAUAGAAAAACAAAUACAAAAAGAACGGAGAGAAACUAAUUAAUAUAGACGUAUUUCGUGGGAAACUGACAUGUUAGAAAAUUAAUUAAGAAAGCUAAAACUCAAUAUUUAAGGUAAGCUAUAAAUUUAUGUUAUAUUUAUUUUUAAAUUAAUUUAAAUAAACGUAUUUAAUCGUGUUAAACGUGUCAAUCAGCUAAUUAUGCAUGUGAUUGACACAUUUAAAUUUUGUGGUAAACGUGUUGAUAUGUUUAUGACAUAAAAAUUGUUUACACUUAAUACUAACCCUCUCUAAUUGUAUGUUGUGUUAGUGUCGAGUUACCGUGUCAUGUUAGAAAUUGUCACUCCUCAUAUAAUUAAAUAUGAUAUGCAUGGUGAAUAGUAUGAUUUAAAACAGCAGUUCAUCAUAGAAACACAAGGACAUCAUACAUUAGAAUUUAUGGAAUUGGUAGUAUCAACAUAAAAAAGUGUUCUAUUUUUUGAAAGAGUACUGUAGAAGACUGAAAUAUAUCAAAUAUAUUAUGUUUUAAUGAAAAAAAUUACAAGUGAUUCUUGUUGAAUGAAAAAGAGGCCGGUGUCAUUGAUUCUUGUUGAAUGGGGGAUAAGACCAUAUGAGGAUUGAAAACAAUGUUUGGAACCUAAAAAAAACUGUCUUAUGAACAUAUCCACACUUUAUAAAGAAUUAAUCAAGCGUAAUUAAUUGACCAAUUGUUAAGUAAAGUGGGCAAAUUAAUUAAUCCUUACAUAAAUAAAAGCUAUAUAUAUAUAUAUAUAUAUAUAUAUAUAUAUAUAUAUAUAUAUAUAUAUAGAAUAUUGGACAAGACGGGGCAAAAAUUUGCAUAAACAAUAUAAAAAAAAUAGAGAAUUAAUAUUUUUAUUUUACAGUGAGAUCUAGUGAGGAGGAAUUUACGCAAUUAAUAUUUUUAUUUGUAAAAAUAUCAAUUAUCAAAGUCAAUAGAUUGUAAUAACUCGCGUUUGUUAUAAAACUUAACAUCAUCAUAAUCCAUAACCAUAGCCAUAGAGAGACUCACGCACAUAAAAAACGAAGAAGAAAAAGGAGAGGUAGAAAUUAUAACAGCUGGAUUUUAUAUAUUGGUAAAUUGAUUGAUAAUUAAUAGUGAUGACAUGGAUCAGAAACACGCGCAGGCGUUUCGUAUACACAUUGGAGCCAAGGUUCUACCACAGCACUGACGGCAGUCAUUGAGAUCUUGACAUACUAUGUUGCAGUUGCGAAGAAUACCCUCGCACCCAUUCCAAGGUUUGUCGUCAGAGCUGGACGUCAAUUCCGGCGCCGAAUAAUUAUGGCGAUGGUCAACACAUGUCCAGUUGCCUUUCAUAUAUUUGGGAGUCCCUACUUUACAUGAAACUUUGCAUUCGCCGGAAGUUAUACUCUGUGGCCUCAUCCCACUAUUUGCGACUGAUAAACCUGCCCAUGCAAUGACAUACAUACAUGCAAACAUAUAAUUAGUGACAUUCAAAUAAUCUGUCGCUAUUGUAAAUUGUUCACAAAUACUAAUACUAAUAUUUUUAUAUAUAUAUUUAUGUUCGUUAAGAGAGACUAACCAGCAACAAGAAGCAAUAGGGCUGACACGAAAAGCAGCUUAAACGAGUACUUCCCCAUAUGUAUAUCUAUUGCCUAUUGGUGAUGUGAUUUAUAAGCAACUAUGCUAUCAGUUUUACUUAAUUUGCAAUGUUAUACUACUAUAUUAAGAAUGAGUAUGCUCUACCAAGAGGGGAAGAAACAUGAAUAUAUAUAGAGUAAAGGGCAUUAAUUAUUUAGAUUACAAAAACUAUCCAGAUUAUUAUCAAUUAAUGUCAGAUUACAAUAUUUUAUUUGGCAAUUAAUAUUGUCAGAUUAUAAAUAAUAUUGGCUGACCAUAUAAUAAAUAUUGGUUAACGUGUUCUCUAUAACAUUAAUAAAGGUUUUGCUAAAUACACAUUUGUUCAGUUAGCAUCAUUUUGUGCUAUAUAUGACAAUAUCACAAUCUCUUAUUUAAUCUUUAAAAAAAUAUUUUAUUUAUUAUUUUAAUAAAUUAUGGAAGUUUUCAUCUCCAAUAAUGUGAUAUCAGUAGAAAAUUGAUAUUUUCACAAGUAAAAAUAAUAGUUUCACAAAUUUUCUCUCACAUAAAUAAUUAAUGGGUUUCAUUGUGGAAAUAUCAGUUUUUACUUGUAAAAAUAACAAUUCCCUAUCAUUAAUUACUUGACUAUGUAUUGGUUAUGUCUUAAAUAUCAUUUGUCUUAUUUAAUGUUUUGCAGACAUAUUUGAAAAUAAAAAGCGAAUUAUUACUCUCAAGAAAAUUUUGAUAUUUUCAUAAGGUUUCUCUUAUACGAGCGUCGGUCACAUUUAUUAUUCAUGUGAAUGGAACCUACCUUAUAGAAAUAUCAAUUUUUCAUGUACAAAUAUUAAUUCCCAAAAAAAACACUUGAUACGGCCCCCUGCAUUAGUUUAUUUAUUUUAGGAUAGUCUAGUAAUUUUAUUGCGUAUGUUGUUAAAAAAAUAAUAAUAAAUAACUCUCUUAAGAUGGUUUUUCUAUAAAAAAAAAUCAAUAUAUAUUUAUUAGCUAAAUUGACCAUAAUUUGUCUCAUGUCAAUCUUUUUGGUAAUUUUGAACCUUUUUAAAUAUAAUUAUUAUCAAAUUCUCCCUUAGUGUUCUAUUCUUCAUUAUCCAAAUAAUCAUGAAAUGAUCUGGCAUUAGGAUGGGUAUAUAUGAUAUUAAUUACUGCAUUCGUUUAAGUUUAGAGACAGAAAAUAGAAGAUUAAGUUUAAACUUUUUAUAGUUAAAUUGAGAUCUUUUAAAUUAAAAAUUAAUGUAAUUCAUUUAAUUUUUGAAAAUAAUAUAAUUUGUAAUUAAUAGAACAAUUUAAAUAGUUUUCAUGAUUGUAUUAUCUAAUUUUAAAUGAAUUUAUAUCAAUUUAAAAUUUAAAAUAAUUUUAAAAAAUCGCUAUUAAUUCUACGAGGAAAAGAAAAUGAUCAAGGAAUAUUAUUGCAAUCAAGGAAUUCAAAUUUUUUUAAUUUAAAUUCUCUAAUACAUGUUAUUGAGCUCCCUCUCAUAUCAACAGUAAAUGAAUUCCAUAAUAAAUUUAUUGCAACAACACUACUCGGUCCUAAUACACAUCAGCUUACAUUCCGACAUUGCAACAUUACGGAGUAAUUUAUAAUUAGAUUAUGGAAAUUAAGUGAACGUAAAAAACGUUGUUUUCCAUCAUUUUAUUUAUUUUUUUAUUUUUCUAACCACUUAAAACUUCAAGACAAUUAGACCUGACCCAAACCCACGGGUCGCAUAACUCAUCCUCUAAAUUCAAGAGUUUGGACUUAAAUUAAUGUCACCGGGUCUUUUUGACUCCGUCCAUUUAAACCCAACCUGUGGGUGAUCCGAUCCAUUAGUUAAUAUUUAAUAUUAUUUUUACUUAAAAUUUCUCCCAUUAAUAUGCACUAAUAAGUUAACUCUCCAACUAUUUCAUCUUCUCUUUAUAAUUAACCAUCACUCCUUCCUAAUUCUUUUGUCGUUUUGCAACUAUCGGUACUAUUCAUUCUCCAUACAUAAAAAGGUUGACCUUAAGGGCACAUUUUAAGCACUGAAUUCAAAAUAUAAGACCCACUGAAAAAUAAUUUUAAAUAUGUAAAAUAAUAUUUCAAUAAGACCGUAUACAUUUAAAAUUAUAUUUCAAUGAACUUCAUCCCUUAAAUUUCGUGUUUAACACGUGUUAAGAAAAUCCCUUUUUCAUCGUUUUAUAACAAAUUGAGUUUUAUUGUAUAGAAAACUUGGAAGUAAUUUAUGUUUUAUUAUUCAAAAGAAGUUGAAAUAAUUUCCGUUGUAAAAAAUAAUAGGUUCUUUACAAUAAUAUACAAUAAUCACUAAAUAAUUACACUAUUAGUGGAUCUAUAAAAUAAUUAUAAAAAUAGUACAAUUCACAUUAAUAAAGAAACCUAAAAUCAAAAAGAAAUAAUUGUCAUAAUUAAUAAUUCAAAUUCAAAUAUUUGAGAUCUAACAACAAAAACAAAUUCAAAAUAAUAAUUCACCCAAACUAAUAUGAGCAUAGAUCAGAUAGCCCGUCAGUAAGUCCAAUAACCCAAACAAAACAAAUUACUUGUACAUCCGAAACCAUAAAAAUAAAAUUCGAUGUAUUACAAACUUUUCCUUUCUUAACGAAGAGAGAUCAUAACAUUCACCGCCAUUGUAAUCUGGUGCGAACCACAUCAAGUAGAAACCUUCAUCUUCGAAUAUUACAGUGGACUCGCAGAGAAAAUAUUAGUCAAGCUUCAGCAACUGGAUAGAGAAGCAUGGCUAUUUGAUUUUUCACAAUUUUUUCAUGUCCGAAAAUUCCAAUUCCAAUUUCGUGGUCAAAAGAAAAUAAGAACACUGUAUAUGAAAAAGAGAGAUAAGAGAGUGAUGUGUAAUGUAAUGUUAAUAACCAAACAUUCGUACCAAGGUAACCAAACUAUUAUACCAAGGUAACCAAUCUACCUCCACACAUGCAGUAUGAAUUGGUUACCUUGGUUUGAAAGUUUGGCAACCAACGGUAUGAAGGUUUGGCUACCAACUGCAAUAACAUUCAAAAUAAAUUGGUAAUUUAAUAAAACUGAAUUGGUUAUCUUGGUAUGAAGGUUUGGCUACCAACUGCACUAUAAAAAAACUACAGGUGUGGAUGUGGAUUGGUUACCUUGGUACGAAGAUUUUGUUACCUUGGUAUGAGGAUUGGUUAUCUUGGUAUAAAGGUUUGAUUACCAACAGCACUAUGAAAAAACUGCACCUGGAUGGAGUAAUUAAUAAAUGUCAUACACAUUUUUUUUAGUAAGUGGGCAUGCACCUAGCUUAAACCCAUAUAUAUAAAAACAGUAAAACCCCUAUUUAAGAAUAUUCUAUAUAAGAAUAACCUCUACAAUAUUAUAAAAAAAAAUGGUCCCAAUUUGGGCCAGUUAUAAAUAUGAAUAACUUCUAAAUUGUAAUAUGUUAUAUACUCCCUCCUAUUCAUAUUAAAUGUCUUUUUAGAGUUAAACACACUUUUUAAGAAAUAACACAAAAUAUCUUUUGUAUCCCUAAUUAAUUAUUUCUCUCUCCACAAUGGUCCAUGGAAUUGUAUUUACUAAACAUAUUAAAUAGAGGGGUAAAUUAAAAAAAAAUAGUGUAAUAUUACAUAGGGAUUCCAAAACAACACUUAUAUAGAAUAAAAUGAAACUCUAUAAAAAGAUAUUUAAUAUGAAUAGGAGGGAGUACUUUUUAAGUCUCGUAUUAAAAAAUUAUACCUCUAUAUAGUAAUAAUUUCAUAUAUAUAUAUAUAUAUAUAUAUAUAUAUAUAUAUAUAUAUAUAUAUAUAUAUAUAUAUAUACACAUAUAUAUAUAGAGAGAGAGACAAUAUUAAUUUUAAAAGACUAUAUUUUCUAUAAAAGACUACAUUUUCUAUAAAUAACUACAUUUUCCUAUAAAAUAUUAUAUUUUCCUAUAAAAGACUAUAUUUGCUAUAAAAGACCAUAUUUUCCUAUAAACAUUUUCUAUAAAAGACUACAUUUUCCUAGUUUGAAAAUCUAAAUAAUUUAUGUGAGUUCUUAUUGACAUUUUGUUAAUGUGAAUAUUUUUGGGUGUUCGAAAAAUAUUUUGUACCAAUACCGCUAUUUAGUAAUAACCUCUCAAUUAGAAUACAAAUAAUUUGGUCAUAAAUUUAUUCUUAAAUAGAGGUUUUACUAUAUAUAUAUAUUUAGAGAGAGAGAGUCAGGAUUAAGUGCAUACCACUUAUCUUACUCACUCGUGCUCACCCCCCUUUAGGCGACGAUUUCGGUUAUACAACCGUUGUCUAUACUUUUAACGACGGACAACAUAUAGCGUUGCUAAAAGUAUAAACGACGGUUGUAUGACAGAAACCGUCGCCUAAAGGGGGGUGAGCACGGGUGAGUAAGAUAAGAGGUAUACACUUGAUCCGGACCGUAUAUUAUAUAUAUAUAUAUAAAACAAAAUAUAAUUGAUUUUAAAUUUUCUGCUCACCUUAAUAAAUCAUCUGGGCCAACCAAAGUUUGAGAUAAAUCCUACUGUCCAUGUAGUGCCGGAGGCACGGGACGAAUCUAGAGUGAUUCUUUUAAAUAACACUCCCGCUUAAAUAUCAUUUCCUUAUUAAAACUAAUAUAUAUAUUAGAACGGAUGUAGAACACUCCUCUUAAAUAUCACUACCUCUUAAAUAUCACUCAUUAAUUUAUUAAAAUUACGUCGUUUUGGAGAUUCUUUUAAAAUACUCCAUACAAAAUAAUAAGUAUUAAAAUAUAGUGAUCCCACUUGUUUUUUUUUAUUUACAAAAAUAACACUCGCGACUCCACAUGUUUUUUUUUAAAAAUUUCAAAACAAUGUAGUUUUAAUAAAAUAGUGUUAUUUAAGAGAGAGUGAUAUUUAAAAGAAAUGCUUUUGAUCCGUUAUAUAUAUAUAUAUAUAUAUAUAUAUAUNNNNNNNNNNNNNNNNNNNNNNNNNNNNNNNNNNNNNNNNNNNNNNNNNNNNNNNNNNNNNNNNNNNNNNNNNNNNNNNNNNNNNNNNNNNNNNNNNNNNNNNNNNNNNNNNNNNNNNNNNNNNNNNNNNNNNNNNNNAUCGCCGCCGGAACCAAAACCGGACUGCAAAGAACCAGCACAGGGGUGGCUAGGGUCAGUGCGAUCACCGUUCCGACGAGGGUCAAGCCUGAGAGGACAAGAAAGGACCCAUCGGAACGGUGUUGUGCCGCGAUCAAAAAACAAUCAGUUGGGAGUUGUUGAUCUUGAUUACGAGGAUUCUGAUGAGAGAUGGACAAAUGGGAGUCAUUUUCUGUGUUGGACAUUGCUUUACUUUCAGUUAGAGAUACUGUGUGUUGAUGAAAGAAUCAAUGGAUGAGAGAGAGAAAAGGAUGAGGAAAACAGUGAGUUAGAUCUGUAAACAUUUUUGCCUUGUUUUGAUUUGGGGAGAUAGAAAAAAAGAGAAUAAAUUCACUAAUUAUGUAAAUAAAAAUUUUAAAUGCAUUAAUUAUGUAAAUAUUUUAUGAGUCCACUAUUGUUGUAAUUAUUAUAAUUAUUUUAAAAAAUAUACUAAAAAAAUAUAAUUAUCCCAUAAAAAAUAGGUGUUUUUAACCCAGCCCAAAAAACUCAUCCGAAAGUAUUACAACCAGCAUUAAAAUGAAAGUCAAGCUUAGAUAAUGAUAUUUUGGAUCCGAUUAUCAUAAAUUUAUUUAAUAAAAUAUUGACACGCAUUAAACUUCGUCUGCAUGUAAUUAAUCAAUUGAUUAAUUUACUCAAAAAUAAACUUUAUGCUAACAAUUUAUUUUUUAAUAAAUUGAUGAAUUAACAAAUAAAAUAUUGACACGCAUUAAACUUCGUCUAUAUGUACUUAAAAAUAAAUUUAUGCCGAUAUUUUUUGUUGGUAGGGUACUUUCUUUGUCAGUGGUAUUUUAUGUACCCUUUUUUUUUGGGUGAACAAUUGGAUAGAUUGUUUUGGCUUAUUUGAUUACUUUUAAUAAAUACCAUCAGAUCUUAGAAUGAAUACAAUACAUGGAACAAGUUAUUCAAAAAUAAAAAAUAAAUCUUGAUUUAUUUUUCUAGGUCUUGCCAAUUGACAUGGAUUAAUCAAAGGACAAUUUACAACAAGAAGAAAAAUGAUUUAGUGUAGCACCAUGCUCGUAAAGUCUGAAGGGUAAGUAUCCAACAGACCAUGUAUUUUGGUGCUUCAAAAUCCACACAAAAAAUUAAUAAAAAUUAUCAUAUUUAUUUAUAGGGGCUUCUUUUCAUUGCGGGUGAUUGAAGAAUUAGCAAAGCAAUCAGAGAACUUUGAAGACCAUAAUGGUACGAUAUGAACUCAACAUGGAGGUUCAGACAGAAAAAGCUCAUCAUUUUACUUUGCUAUUUUGUUUAGAUCUGGAUCUGAUUUCAAUUUCAAUUGGUUAAAAAGUAGAAGAGAUCAUUGUAGGUGUUUUGGCAAAUAAACAGAUGAUAUUAAACAAAAGAAAAGAAUACUGAGUUCAAUCGAAUCUUGUUUAUGCCAAAUAUAAAUUUUAAUUUAGCACCUUAAAAUACCAGAUCUCGAAUUUUCCUUUCAACUAUGCUUCAAGUUGAAAGGGGCUAUAUGGUGCAGCAGCAGCAGCAGGAUAGAGGAGGAGAGAGAAAAUAUAUACAUACAUACUAGGGAUUGAAGACUUUGGAGUUACCUACUAAGUACUUUUUUUAUAGAUAAA
rnacentral:lncRNA from 1 species